rnacentral:rRNA from 1 species
GAUGAACGCUGGCGGCGUGCCUAAUACAUGCAAGUCGAGCGAACAGACGAGGAGCUUGCUCCUCUGACGUUAGCGGCGGACGGGUGAGUAACACGUGGAUAACCUACCUAUAAGACUGGGAUAACUUCGGGAAACCGGAGCUAAUACCGGAUAAUAUAUUGAACCGCAUGGUUCAAUAGUGAAAGACGGUUUUGCUGUCACUUAUAGAUGGAUCCGCGCCGCAUUAGCUAGUUGGUAAGGUAACGGCUUACCAAGGCAACGAUGCGUAGCCGACCUGAGAGGGGGGGCGGCCAAACUGGAACUGGGACACGGGCCAGACUCCUACGGGAGGCAACAGUGGGGAAUCUUCCCCAAUGGGCGAAAACUUGACGGGGGAAACCCGGGGGGGGGAUGAAGGGCUUCGGAUCGGAAAACCCUUUUUUUAGGGAAAAAAAAAUGUGUAAAGAAAUAUGCACGGCUUGACGGUACCUAAUCAGAAAGCCACGGCUAACUUCGGG